rnacentral:rRNA from 1 species
UACGUAGGGGGCAAGCGUUAUCCGGAUUUACUGGGUGUAAAGGGAGCGUAGACGGCGUGCCAAGUCUGAUGUGAAAGGCCGGGGCUCAACCCCGGGACUGCAUUGGAAACUGGCAUGCUAGAGUGCCGGAGGGGCAAGCGGAAUUCCUAGUGUAGCGGUGAAAUGCGUAGAUAUUAGGAGGAACACCAGUGGCGAAGGCGGCUUACUGGACUGUAACUGACGCUGAGGCAUGAGAGCAUGGGGAGCAAACAGG